rnacentral:rRNA from 1 species
UUUGGUUAAGUUAGAAAGGGCGCACGGUGGAUGCCUUGACACUAGGAGUCGAUGAAGGACGGGACUAACGCCGAUAUGCUUCGGGGAGCUGUAAGUAAGCUUUGAUCCGAAGAUUUCCGAAUGGGGAAACCCACCAUACGUAAUGGUAUGGUAUCCUUAUCUGAAUACAUAGGGUAAGGAAGACAGACCCAGGGAACUGAAACAUCUAAGUACCUGGAGGAAGAGAAAGCAAAUGCGAUUUCCUGAGUAGCGGCGAGCGAAACGGAACAUAGCCCAAACCAAGAGGCUUGUCUCUUGGGGUUGUAGGACAUUCUAUACGGAGUUACAAAGGAACGAGGUAGACGAAGCGACCUGGAAAGGUCCGUCGUAGAGGGUAACAACCCCGUAGUCGAAACUUCGUUCUCUCUUGAAUGUAUCCUGAGUACGGCGGAACACGUGAAAUUCCGUCGGAAUCUGGGAGGACCAUCUCCCAAGGCUAAAUACUCCCUAGUGAUCGAUAGUGAACCAGUACCGUGAGGGAAAGGUGAAAAGCACCCCGGAAGGGGAGUGAAAGAGAUCCUGAAACCGUGUGCCUACAAAUAGUCAGAGCCCGUUAACGGGUGAUGGCGUGCCUUUUGUAGAAUGAACCGGCGAGUUACGAUCCCGUGCGAGGUUAAGCUGAAGAGGCGGAGCCGCAGCGAAAGCGAGUCUGAAUAGGGCGUUUAGUACGUGGUCGUAGACCCGAAACCAGGUGAUCUACCCAUGUCCAGGGUGAAGUUCAGGUAACACUGAAUGGAGGCCCGAACCCACGCACGUUGAAAAGUGCGGGGAUGAGGUGUGGGUAGCGGAGAAAUUCCAAUCGAACCUGGAGAUAGCUGGUUCUCCCCGAAAUAGCUUUAGGGCUAGCCUUAAGUGUAAGAGUCUUGGAGGUAGAGCACUGAUUGGACUAGGGGUCCUCAUCGGAUUACCGAAUUCAGUCAAACUCCGAAUGCCAAUGACUUAUCCUUAGGAGUCAGACUGCGAGUGAUAAGAUCCGUAGUCAAAAGGGAAACAGCCCAGACCGCCAGCUAAGGUCCCAAAGUGUGUAUUAAGUGGAAAAGGAUGUGGAGUUGCUUAGACAACUAGGAUGUUGGCUUAGAAGCAGCCACCAUUUAAAGAGUGCGUAAUAGCUCACUAGUCGAGUGACUCUGCGCCGAAAAUGUACCGGGGCUAAAUACACCACCGAAGCUGCGGAUUGAUACCGAAUAGUAUCAGUGGUAGGGGAGCGUUCUAAGGACAGUGAAGUCAGACCGGAAGGACUGGUGGAGUGCUUAGAAGUGAGAAUGCCGGUAUGAGUAGCGAAAGACGGGUGAGAAUCCCGUCCACCGAAUGCCUAAGGUUUCCUGAGGAAGGCUCGUCCGCUCAGGGUUAGUCAGGACCUAAGCCGAGGCCGACAGGCGUAGGCGAUGGACAACAGGUUGAUAUUCCUGUACCACCUCUUUAUCGUUUGAGCAAUGGAGGGACGCAGAAGGAUAGAAGAAGCGUGCGAUUGGUUGUGCACGUCCAAGCAGUUAGGCUGAUAAGUAGGCAAAUCCGCUUAUCGUAAAGGCUGAGCUGUGAUGGGGAAGCUCCUUAUGGAGCGAAGUCUUUGAUUCCCCGCUGCCAAGAAAAGCUUCUAGCGAGAUAAAAGGUGCCUGUACCGCAAACCGACACAGGUAGGCGAGGAGAGAAUCCUAAGGUGUGCGAGAGAACUCUGGUUAAGGAACUCGGCAAAAUGACCCCGUAACUUCGGGAGAAGGGGUGCUUUCUUAACGGAAAGCCGCAGUGAAUAGGCCCAAGCGACUGUUUAGCAAAAACACAGCUCUCUGCGAAGCCGUAAGGCGAAGUAUAGGGGGUGACACCUGCCCGGUGCUGGAAGGUUAAGGAGAGGGGUUAGCGUAAGCGAAGCUCUGAACUGAAGCCCCAGUAAACGGCGGCCGUAACUAUAACGGUCCUAAGGUAGCGAAAUUCCUUGUCGGGUAAGUUCCGACCCGCACGAAAGGUGUAACGAUUUGGGCACUGUCUCAACCAGAGACUCGGUGAAAUUAUAGUACCUGUGAAGAUGCAGGUUACCCGCGACAGGACGGAAAGACCCCGUGGAGCUUUACUGUAGCCUGAUAUUGAAUUUUGGUACAGUUUGUACAGGAUAGGCGGGAGCCUUUGAAACCGGAGCGCUAGCUUCGGUGGAGGCGCUGGUGGGAUACCGCCCUGACUGUAUUGAAAUUCUAACCUACGGGUCUUAUCGACCCGGGAGACAGUGUCAGGUGGGCAGUUUGACUGGGGCGGUCGCCUCCUAAAGUGUAACGGAGGCGCCCAAAGGUUCCCUCAGAAUGGUUGGAAAUCAUUCGUAGAGUGCAAAGGCAUAAGGGAGCUUGACUGCGAGACCUACAAGUCGAGCAGGGACGAAAGUCGGGCUUAGUGAUCCGGUGGUUCCGCAUGGAAGGGCCAUCGCUCAACGGAUAAAAGCUACCCCGGGGAUAACAGGCUUAUCUCCCCCAAGAGUCCACAUCGACGGGGAGGUUUGGCACCUCGAUGUCGGCUCAUCGCAUCCUGGGGCUGUAGUCGGUCCCAAGGGUUGGGCUGUUCGCCCAUUAAAGCGGUACGCGAGCUGGGUUCAGAACGUCGUGAGACAGUUCGGUCCCUAUCCGUCGUGGGCGUAGGAAAUUUGAGAGGAGCUGUCCUUAGUACGAGAGGACCGGGAUGGACGCACCGCUGGUGUACCAGUUGUUCUGCCAAGGGCAUAGCUGGGUAGCUAUGUGCGGAAGGGAUAAGUGCUGAAAGCAUCUAAGCAUGAAGCCCCCCUCAAGAUGAGAUUUCCCAUAGCGUAAGCUAGUAAGAUCCCUGAAAGAUGAUCAGGUUGAUAGGUUCGAGGUGGAAGCAUGGUGACAUGUGGAGCUGACGAAUACUAAUAGAUCGAGGACUUAACCAUAUAA